UAACACGAGAGUUUGAUCCUGGCUCAGGACGAACACUGGCGGCGUGCCUAACACAUGCAAGUCGAGCGGGGACAGAGAAGCUUGCUUUUCUGUUCUAGCGGCGGACGGGUGAGUAACGCGUGAGCAACCUGCCUUACACUGGGGAAUAACGCAUCGAAAGAUGUGCUAAUACCGCGUAAGACCACACUACCGCAUGGUAGAGGGGUCAAAGGAGCAAUCCGGUAUAAGAUGGG
rnacentral:rRNA from 1 species